rnacentral:rRNA from 1 species
AUACGAAGGGGGCAAGCGUUGUUCGGAAUAACUGGGCGUAAAGCGCACGUAGGCGGAUUGAUCAGUUAGAGGUGAAAUCCCAGGGCUCAACCCUGGAACUGCCUUUAAUACUGUCAGUCUAGAGAUCGAGAGAGGUGAGUGGAAUUCCGAGUGUAGAGGUGAAAUUCGUAGAUAUUCGGAGGAACACCAGUGGCGAAGGCGGCUCACUGGCUCGAUACUGACGCUGAGGUGCGAAAGCGUGGGGAGCAAACAGGAUUAGAAACCCCAGUAGUCC